GGGGGAUUAGCUCAGCUGGGAGAGCGCCGCCCUUGCAAGGCGGAGGUCGCCGGUUCGAUCCCGGUAUCCUCCA
rnacentral:tRNA from 1 species